rnacentral:sRNA from 1 species
UUCAUAGACAAAAAAAAAAAAUAAAAUGGGGCGGAGAGAAGUCAAAUAAACUCAAGAGUAAAAGGCAGAUUGGAGCCCAGCAUGUAGCGAGCAUCUCUUAUAAACACCACCUGUCAAUAAAAAAAAGCUGAUGGCCAAUGAGCUGAAGCAGGAAAUAGGCGGUGGGACACUGGCCGGAAGAAGAGGAUUCUGGGAAAUAGUGAGUCAAUAAAAGAGAGACCCACAGAAAGCUGCCGAAGACUCGAGGGGACACGUGAUGGAAGACUGACGGAGGGACUGACAUAGAAACUCAGAGAGACGCUGAGAAGAGGCCAAGAAAGAAGUGAGCCGGACCUGAGGAGAGGUAACUAACCAAGUGGUAAACACAGAAUACUUAAACGGGUUAAAUAAGUUCGGAGCCGAAGCUAUGGCCGAAGCAAUGGCCGAAGCAUUUAAUAACUAAUUAGUCUCAGAGUCAAUAUUCUGGGAGCGGGGACUGGGAAGGAAAGACAGAUUUUAGAAAUUAUUUUAACACCAGCAAGUCCAGUUUCAAAAUCUGAGCUUUUUUGUUAGCCUAUGACAUUUAACUGAAAGACGGAGAGAAGAGGUGGGGGGCAGGGAGAAAGAAACCUAAGUUUGGAGUCUGGGAAAGUACAGAAACAUCUCUGAAGACCACCUCAGAUGGACUCGGCCCAGCCAUAGGCAUCUGGAAAGUAAUCGGGGUAACGUGCUGGGACAGAUCAAGGGACAAGUCCACAAGCACCCGAGUUCAGCGGCAUCCCCGUUCUUCCCGCUGCGCCCCACCCCUCCCAGUCAUUUGUUUAUUUUCCAACUCAAGGUCGCUUUAGAUCCUGACACGGUUAAAAGAAAUAUCUUUUUUUUUUUUUUUUUUUUUUUUUUACAAAUUGUAAUGUGAGACGUAAACGUUUGAUGUUUAAAAUAUUUUGUGAUGAGCAGUUCAAUGUGCAGUUUUGCCGUGGUGAUGUUGAGAGUGUUCGCCAUUCAUUUUAUUUUAUUUUAUUUGCUUGGCCUUUUCUCCCCCCAUACCAGGAAUGGAGCACAGGACUCCUGUACGCUGAGCGGGUGCUCGACCAUGGAGUCACGUAUAUCCCAACCCUACUCUUUGUUUUAACCCAGCUUCAUUUGGAAUUUAAAUCAGAAGCAAAUCGAGUUACACUAAAUGUGUAACAAUUGCAAUCAUUUAACACAGUGCUUUUUUUUUUUUUCAAAAUAGCUUUCCAAAAAACGGCCUAUAUAAGUAAUUAUCGGAUAUUCGACACAUGUCAUUAAUUUACACGACUUUAUAACUUCCAGGAGAUUUGAAGGUCUGACUGAGGUGGACUAUACUGGUUUGUGAUAUAGCACCCAUACUAUCUCGUUUCCUCCAAAGGAGCCAAAGGAAGGUGGCCUGUUCUCAUCUGCAUCUUUUGCCAGAUCUCGUGUCAGAGCCCCUGGCUGUUACCACAACACAGUCAGACUUCUGCCGCCCAGAUCUCACCAUUAUUCUCAAUGAUAUUCUUUUUAUCCAUUCAUCUGUAAAUAGCUGGUCUGGAUAAACUAUUGCUGACCUCCUUCCUGGGUCCAAUCUAUAAACGGCAGGAAUAAAGCAGAAGUUAUUACUAUUGUGUUUCUUGAUUUUUAAAGAAACAACAUUUAAAAUGUCCAGAAGGGGCCCAUCUUUGGAGUCCCCAGUUCUUCCUGCAGUGGAUUGAAAGAAAUUGGCCUUGUACAAAUGAGCCCAGGGUGCUCUCUCCUUGCCUGCUCACAAAGGAAACUGCUCCACCAGAGCCUACUGCCUGAAGAAGGGAAACCUCCAACUUGGGGGCUGGUGGGCAGGGUUGGAGACUGGGAAUAUGAAGUUCACAUCCCUGACACAUAAAGUCUUCCAGACAGAUGGAGGCAGACAGGAUUAUUGAGAAAGAACUUUGGCAAAGUUUGAUUGAUCCUAUCAUCCCCUGGUUUUCCAAGUACUCUAGAAUAUACGUCACCUCUUUGUAGAAAUCUCUGGGUCAGGAAGGUGCUAUAGUUUGGAGCUUGAACUGCCCCUAAAGUCUGUGUGUCACUGUCUUGAACCCUGAGAGGCAGUGGAACCAUUACAAGGACAGAUCUAGUGAAAGGAAAUCAGGUCAUCGGUAGGGCACCAAUUGAUAGGCCGUUGUAGGGGAUGACAGGACCCAGCCCCUCCUUUCUCAUCUUGCUUUCUGACCAACAGGAAGUGAGUAUCUGCUUCCACCACACCCCUCACCAUGCUCUUCUGCCUCACCACAGGUACGGAGGGAGAUGGACUGAGACCAGUAAAGGGGCGGACCGCAACAAGCCUUUCCUCCGGUCAAGUUAACUGCCUAGGAUAUUUUACCGUGGUGAUAGAAAGCUGGCUAAUACCACAGGGAAGAAGAUACUGUCACACUUCCACAGAAGAAAGGAAGGCCAAAGACUGUCCGAUUGCCAUUUGCAGACAACCAGCCAAAGGUUUGGAGGUGUGAGACACAGGACAUCCUUCUCAACCAACUGUGGUCAUCGCACACAGGUUACCUCAGGGCUGACCAAAGAAAGCCAAACAUUCACAGCAAGCCAAGAACAAGAUUGGCUUCAUCUUUAGCUAAUUCUGCAGCAUCCUCCAUACAGUCAAGGUUCAAAGCUCCCCUUUGUCGCUACGAAGCUCUCCCACACCAGACCCUGAGGAUCUCUAUCAAAUUCACGAUAGUGGCUGCCACUCUUGUUAAAGGGGACUCUGAAUAAAUAUAAUCUCCCUUCUCAUUUGGCAAAUAGUCACCUGUUUCCAUACUACAUAUAACACACGUGGACACAUGCAUAGACACACAUGUAAAAGUAGCAGUGCCAUAUACAAAGGUCUAAAAGUCCCCACAGCCAUAUGUCAGUGGGACAGCAUAGCCUCACAUGUCUGCCUACCUCCCAAAGACUUGGGUUCAGUUGCUUGCAUUAAUAAAUACCGCCUUCCUACACAGGCACGCCUGUUGUUCUUAUAUCACUCACCAUCAUUUCACUGAUGCACCAGGCUCUGCUCAUGCCAGGAGCCGACGCACCUGAUAUGCCAGUGCAGAAUGACAAGUGGGUCACCAGUGUAGACAGGAGUCACUGAUCCCAGUACCACCCUCCAGCCAGGCGUGCCCAGCCAAGGGAGCCUCAUCGGUUCACCCCAGACUGACAUACACACAGUGUCCCUUUCUCUACAUGUCAUGUCUUGAGAAAGCUGAGGAGGCAGGGAGAACCCCUCUCUCGGCCCCAUGAAUGAGUUUAGGCCAAUUCCAGACACAAACUGUCAAGUUCUUCACAUCUUUUUUUUUCAGUUCAUUCUCACCAGAGCCUGAUGGUGCAAGUGGUCCUGGUGAACCCAUAGUGUGGAUGAGGGAACCACACCUAAGGAAAUUCAAGUCCUGGGUCUCUUACACCAGACAUGAGCCUCUCUCAUGAGAAGGCAAUUGUGUGUCGUAAGGGGCUUCAGCAAGAUGUUCCACAUGUGAGGAAAGUAAACACAAUGAGUAAGGGUGUUGCAUCCCCAGAAAUAAGCUGGGAAGUGCUGUAGGAGGAUGUGUUCUACACUUUCAAAUCUCAGAACUGUGUAAACGACAGCACACACCAUGCUUUCAAAAUUGUGGGUCACGCCCAUAAUGUGCUCACACUCCUGAAGGCAAUACAUCUAAAUUACAUCAAUUAACAAUGGUGACGUGACAUAAUAUUGCUAACCCUAAUGAUCAGCAUAACAAUGGGUCGCCGAACACUGAUAACCUCACACCGAUUCCAGACGCGGCUACCAAGUUCUUCUCAUCUUUCCUCAGUUAAUACUCACAACAGACCGGGAAAUGGAGGCUAAGGAGUCUAGACAAGGCCACCGCAGGGCAGGCACUAGAGUCCAGUGUUACCUGUCAGCCUUAGCAUCUGUGCUAUUUACCUUCCCAAGUCUACACGCAACCUAUUCGACUCACCACACAUGUAACAGCUCAAGGUGAAAAAAUAGCAAUUAUAUACAGGGAGAGAAAAAGCCAUCAUUAGUCAGGAAUGGAAAAAUGAAAUUCUAACGUCUGCUCAGCCCAAUAUCAAUAUUGACAGUUCUCGUUAGAGGCGUGUAUUAUACUUUAAUAAAUACGGAACAUAAAUUCUUCUUGGUGUCUCAAUUAAUUGUUUUUGAAUUAACCUGGCAUUAGCGAUUGUCUCCCUAAUUAUUUAAAAUAAGCAGUAAUUUCAUAUAAUAGCCUAUUUUCAUAUCAAGCCAGCAUUUCCCCAGCAACACUUCACAGCCUAACAUCUAGUACAUUUUAGGCGACAAUCCCACAGAAUUACAGGACAGUCAGGCUAAAAUUAGUGAAAAUAACUAGAAAUCAAACCAAUAUGUGACAGUCUUUUAAAAACUAGGUUCAGUAACUUACAAUUUGAAUAUAUAGUCAAUUUUUAUGAACAAAAAGGGAAUUUUGAAAGAAUACAUAGGAGUCCCAUGAGAUACCAAUGUCCAUACAUGAGAUACCAAUGUCCAUCUGUGUAUUUAGUUUUCUCAGCAUCCGGAUGCAUAAUGUCAGAAAUGUGAAUGUAGAUAUGCAUAAUCCAGAGCAUUAGCCUACUUAAGAAGCAACACACGGUGCUGGAUAGAUGGCUCAAUGGUUAGGAGCACUGACUGCUUGUCCCUAGCACCCAGGUUUGGUUCCCAGCAUCCACAUAUAACUGAUUACAGCAUCCAUAGUUUUAGGGCAUCUGACACCAACUGGUUAUCAUCUGACUCUUUCAGGCGUGUCAAGUGGUCAUACAUGUCAUACUCAGUCAUACAUAUCAUACUCAGUCAUACAUGUCAUACUCAGUCAUACAUAUCAUACUCAGUCAUACAUGUCAUACUCAGUCAUACAUAUCAUACUCAGUCAUACAUGUCAUACUCAGUCAUACAUGUCAUACUCAGUCAUACAUGCUGGCAAAACACUCACCAAAUAAAAACAAUAUAAUAAUUAAAAAAAGAAACAGAAACAACAAGAGAUCAGCUAAGGGUUUCUGGCUUCCCCUGUCUCUACCACUCCCGAGUCAAUGCCUAAAAUGCACAGUGGCACACUGGUCAACAGUGAGAAAUGGCUGUUUAUCUGCCAAACACUCGAUCAUUGUGUCAGUCUUUGCCAGCCCUCCACACACACACAAAGGCUGCUGACUGGUGGAAAUUUGCUCAGUGCCCUGCAGUAGUGGGUUUAGGAGUUAAGAUAGACUGCCAGGCCUAACUACCAAAGUCCCUCAUCUUUCCAAUGUAUUGUGUUGCUUGAAAAAGAACCAAGACCCUCCUGCCCUCUGUCUGACUUGCUAUGGGAACCCAGCCACAGAAAACACAGACUGAGCAGAAGCAACCACGGCGUAGACAUUAAAGUUGUGCUUAUUCCCUUGUUUUAAGUUAUUUAUGAGCUUCAUUUAUGUACAAGAACAUUUGUAUUCCAUGUAAUUUCUGUGUGGUAUGAAACACUGUUCUUUUGACAUCUAACCAUUUAAAAAGGUAAAAAUGUAUUCUUUUGUACUUGCUAUAAAAAACAAAACAACACAAGAAAAAGAAAAACAACUUCUAACCUCUAACUUGGUCUUGGGUUCUAGCUUGCUGACCCCCAGUCUACAAGUUCCUUCUCAUGGUUUUUCACCAUCUCAACCUCAAUCAAGUCCACCUGUCACUUCUUCCUCCAUACAGACAAGGCGUUCACUAAGCGCUCACUGCGUGGUUGUGUAUGCCGGGCCACACGAAAAGUGGCCUGCAACAGAACACCAUGACCGAAAGUAACUUAGGAAGGAACGAGUUUGUUUCAUCCUUCAGCUUGUGGCUAUAAGGGGAGUCAAGUCAGGAACUCAAGGCAGAACUCUCGAGGCAGGAACUCAACAGGCAGAGGCCAUGGAGGGCGCUGCUUACUGGCUUGCUCU